UUACGGCCAUAUCACGUUGAAACACUGGUUUUCGUACGAUCAGCGAAGAUAAGCAACUUCGAGGCUGGUCAGCACCUGGAUGGGUGACCGCUUGAGAAUACCAGGUGCUGUAA